rnacentral:rRNA from 1 species
UACCGUGAGGGAAAGGUGAAAAGCACCCCGGAAGGGGAGUGAAAUAGAACCUGAAACCGUGUGCUUACAAGUAGUCAGAGCCCGUUAAUGGGUGAUGGCGUGCCUUUUGUAGAAUGAACCGGCGAGUUACGAUUUGAUGCAAGGUUAAGCAGUAAAUGUGGAGCCGUAGCGAAAGCGAGUCUGAAUAGGGCGUUUAGUAUUUGGUCGUAGACCCGAAACCAGGUGAUCUACCCUUGGUCAGGUUGAAGUUCAGGUAACACUGAAUGGAGGACCGAACCGACUUACGUUGAAAAGUGAGCGGAUGAACUGAGGGUAGCGGAGAAAUUCCAAUCGAACCUGGAGAUAGCUGGUUCUCUCCGAAAUAGCUUUAGGGCUAGCCUCAAGUGAUGAUUAUUGGAGGUAGAGCACUGUUUGGACGAGGGGCCCCUCUCGGGUUACCGAAUUCAGACAAACUCCGAAUGCCAAUUAAUUUAACUUGGGAGUCAGAACAUGGGUGAUAAGGUCCGUGUUCGAAAGGGAAACAGCCCAGACCACCAGCUAAGGUCCCAAAAUAUAUGUUAAGUGGAAAAGGAUGUGGCGUUGCCCAGACAACUAGGAUGUUGGCUUAGAAGCAGCCAUCAUUUAAAGAGUGCGUAAUAGCUCACUAGUCGAGUGACACUGCGCCGA